rnacentral:rRNA from 1 species
UACAGAGGGUGCGAGCGUUGUCCGGAAUCACUGGGCGUAAAGGGCGCGUAGGUGGCGGCCCAAGUCCAUGGUGAAAGCUCGAUGCUCAACAUCGAGUCGGCCACGGAUACUGGGUUGCUUGAGCACUGUAGGGGCAGAUGGAAUUCCGGGUGUAGCGGUGGAAUGCGUAGAGAUCCGGAAGAACACCGGUGGCGAAGGCGGUCUGCUGGGCAGUUGCUGACACUGAGGCGCGACAGCGUGGGGAGCAAACAGG